AGCAGCAUGGCGCAGUUGGAAGCGCGCGGGGCCCAUAUCAGAACAAUUUACUGAACAUAAGUACCCCGAGGUCACUUGAUCGAAACAAGUUGCUGCUA